rnacentral:lncRNA from 1 species
GGUUGGAGCAAGAUCAAGGAAUGGCAGCAGAAUCCAGAUCUGCCAUGCCCAUAGUUUGUUUCUUCUGUUCAUCUGGUCCCUGUCAACAUCCUCAUGAGCAAUGAUCCAUUCAGUUUGCUUGGAAUUUUUUUGUUGUGUAUGGAGUAGUAUAUCUUGAUAAUCUAGUAUUCCAUAUAUGUGUGGGAUGAUUUAAGGAAUUGAUUCCAUAUAUAUAUGUGUGUAUGUUGUUGUAUUUGUAAACAAAGAACGUCUGUUGAUUUUAUCCGAAAGAGACAUGCUUCUCUUGUUUGCUUCAAACAAUAUGACCAGUUUACCAAACAUCAUUUCACUCAGCCCGUGACGCCUCAUGCAACCUACCAAACACAUAUUCACCUUGGCCAGUCCCAGCACACACAAGCAACCAAACACACAUCUCAAUGUACAAUUGCAUUAGUCCAGCCAGGCCACACUCAGCCAGCAUGCUAGAUGCGAUGUAGCCAAAUGUGACCCGGGCAACCAAACACGCCCAUAGAAUGCAGCGUAUAUGCAGAUCUGACGAUAAAAUUGCAGAUGACGCUGGAGUAAAUCCGGAUAAGCAACAGCUCCUACGCCAGCUGAAGGCCGGUGAGAGCGUGCUUACGAGGGUGAGGCAGGAGAAGAAUGAUCUCCUAGAUGCCAACACCAAGCUGGGCGUGGAACUAAAAGAUGUUCGUGCCCAACUGUUGGACUUUGUUAAGGAGAAUCGGCGGCUUCGACACGGCAUAUUUAGUAAGUGCUUGAAUGAACUUUGAAAAAGAGUUCAACGAGGAAGUUGGCUGACAGAGUUAUGUCUGUAGGUAAUCUAACAGGUCGUCCUGCUGAGGAAAUGCCCGGUUCAACGGGUGACCUUCUUCCUGAGCUCUCACAGCUGCACGAACGAGCUCGGCAGGUGAUGCAAGGUGUUGCCUAGGCCUUGUGGCCAUCCGUCUCCAUACCCGAAGGCCUUGGAGAGCUUGCAGAAAAGCUGAAGGGAGAGCGGCGGUGCUUCCGAUUAUGGAAGAUAUCGGCCUGCCAUCAGGGCGCCAGGGAAGCCUGGGCAAUGGUGAAGACACGGUACACGAAGGCUGACCCGAACCACAUGGCCGAAGUCGGACUUGUGGGGCCUGAUGGGAAGGAGAUCCCUGUGAGCUUAGUGUACGGCCAAGUAGAAUUGGCCGCAAAGUAUUCCCAACAGGACUGUAGGCUAGACAGCCUACUGGAUGGUAUUGAAGAGGAAUUCAACCAGUCAAAUUGACUAUGUAAUAUUAAAGUGACAUGUAUAAUGCCUUCUAGCCGGAUUGUAGAUCAUUUGUCGUGGCGGACCUUUUCGCUUCAACCUCGGGACCCGACGGUCCGGAGUGUAUCCGAAUACCCUCUCGGUUAUGUAAGAACCGGGCAUGCAUGGAGACCAGGCGUAGGGGUCAUUAGUGCUUUAUCAGAUAAGUGCCCAACUAUUUAUGUUAUAUUACAUGGUUAGUAAGAAACAUCUUCCAGGGAGAAUAGUUCCCUUAAGGGUUCCUUUCACUGGGUAAGCAUGCCCUAAAGUGCAUGUCCGGACUGCGAUAAGAAGCACAGAAAAAUCAUCUGGGGGUAGAUAUGGAUAAUAAAUAAAAGUCAUCUUUUGUUCACCGACCGAAUAUUCCCUUAAGAACGCUAGCUUUCGGCUUCACCCAGUCUGAGGUACACGUCCGGCUGACCCGGCGGUAACAAUCGCAGAGGUGCUCCCCUUAUGCCCCAGCCGAAUUAACGGGAACGUAGGGCAUAAAUACAAGAGCCAGGCAACCCAGCUUGGCCAAAACUUAAGUCAUAUCAAUGCAUAUAAUGGUGAAAAAAGGUACAUGCGGAAGUAUAACACAUGUGUUGGGCGUGAGGCCCAGGUAAAUAAUUUAAGCUUCUAUGAAGAAGCCCCCAGGUAUGAAGAGUGCGGCUAGCGCAUCUGUAAUGUACGAGUGAGGCACAAGGUGACCCUUGAAGGCCUAGAGAAAGAAAAGAAAGAAAGGGAAACAAGACAGAUGAUGCAUAUGCAGAAAAUGGACCAAGGGAGGGGACUAACAUAGAGUCCGGUGCUAGGCGUAGAAUCUUCGAAGCCUGGCUGCGUUCUAUGGGUUCGGCUCGAGUCGACUAGUCGAUGCAUCCCGCAGUCGGUACGCUCCACCGGUCAGAACUUGGUAGAUAAUGAAGGGACCUUCCCAUUUGGGCUCGAGCUUGUUCUUUUUCUUAUCUGGCAGUCGUAGAACUAGUUCGCCAAUGUUAUAAGUUUUGGCCCGUACUUCUCUGCUUUGGUAUCUGCGAGCCUGUUGCUGGUAAAAUGCAGAACGGGCUUUGGCUACGUCGCGCUCUUCCUCCAAGGUGUCCAGACUGUCCUGCCGAUCGAGCUCGGCUUCUCUUUCUUCGUACAUGCGCACUCGAGGUGAGUCAUGAAUUAUGUCACAGGGCAGGACUGCCUCUCCGCCGUACACCAUAAUAAACGGUGUAUAUCCGGUACUACGAUUCGGCGUGGUCCGCAGCCCCCAGAGUACGGAGUCGAGCUCCUCUACCCUGUGCGUGUCAGACUCCAUUAAGGAGCGCACCUAGCUGGGUUUAAUGCCGCUCAUUAUAAGACCAUUUGCUCGUUCGACUUGACCGUUGGUUUGUGGGUGAUAGACUGAAGCAUAAUCGAGCUUGAUGCCCAUUUUGCUGCACCAGAGUUUUACCUUGUCGGCCAUGAAGUUCGUGCCGUUAUCAGUGAUGAUGCUGUGGGGGACGCCGUAAUGGUGUACAACCCCGGAUAUGAAAUCUAUCACCGGUCCGGAUUCGGCUAUUUUAACCGGUUUAGCCUCUAUCCAUUUGGUGAAUUUAUCCACCAUGACCAAUAAAUAUUUUUUCUUGUGGGUUCCCCCUUUAAGGGGUCCAACCAUGACAAGCCCCCAGACUGCGAAGGGCCAUGUAAUGGGGAUUUUUUGGAGGGCGGUGGGUGGCAUGUGGCUUUGAUUUGCAAAGAGCUGGCAACCGGCGCAACGUUGGACCAAGUCCUGUGCAUCUGCCCGGGCCGUUCGCCAAUAGAAUCCUGUAUGGAAGGCCUUGCUUACAAGAGCCCGGGCUCCGUUGUGAUGACCGCCGAGUCCGGCGUGAAUUUCUGCCAAAAGGUUCCGCCCUUCCUCUUCGGAGAUGCACUUUUGAAGGACUCCGGUAGCGCUUUUCUGUACAAUUCUCUCUCAUGGACCCUGUAGGCCUUGGAUCACCGCACUAUGCAGCGUGCCUCAUUUUGGUCCUCCGGAAGUUCCUGUCUAGUUAGGUAGGCCAGGAAUGGUUCUGUCCACGGGGCAAUAAUGGCCAUUAUUUCGUGGGCUGAAUGUGUUAUUUCGGUGGCGGAGCCUCCGAUUGUGUCAGAGAGUUCGGUAUCGGGUAUUUUGGCCGAGUCCGGACUGUUGUUACCGGUGUCCCCUUCCCAUGCUACGGAUGGCUUGAAGAGCCUUUCCAGGAAUAUGUUGGGAGGGACCGCGUCGCGUUUUGCACCGAUGCGGGCGAGGAUAUCCGCCGCCUGAUUGUUUUCCCGAGCCACAUGGUGAAAUUCGAGCCCCUCGAACCGAGCUGACAUUUUUAGGACGGCAUUGCGAUAAGCUGCCAUUUUCGGAUCCUUGGCAUCAAAGUCUCCAUUUAUUUGGGAUAUCGCGAGGUUCGAAUCCCCGCGCACCUGUAGGCGUUGAAUGCCCAUGGAUACUGCCAUCCGGAGACCAUGUAGAAGGGCCUCAUAUUCGGCUGCGUUGUUGGAGUCCGUAUACAUUAUCUGUAGUACGUAUUGAACUGAAUCUCCUGUUGGGGACGUCAAAACGAUGCCAGCCCCCAGACCAGGCAACAUUUUGGAGCCGUCGAAGUGCAUGAUCUAGUUUGAAUAUGUGUCGUACUCCUUAGGGAGUUCAGCUUUCGUCCACUCGGCGACGAAGUCAGCCAAAACUUGUGAUUUAAUAGCUCACCGUGGCUUGUAAGUUAUGUCGAACGGGAGGAGCUCAAUGGCCCAUUUGGCAAUCCGGCCCGUCGCAUCGCGGUUGUUUAUAAUAUCGUUAAGUGGUACUUCCGAGGCUACCGUUAUCGAACACUCUUGAAAGUAGUGUCGCAGCUUCCGGGAUGCCAUAAAUACCGCGUACGCUAUAUUUUGAUAAUGCGGGUACCGUGAUUUGCAUGGAGUAAGGACAGUGGAGACAUAGUAAACCGGCUUUUGAAGGGGGAAUUUGUGUCCGUCUGAUUCUCGUUCGACGACGAGCACUGCGCUUACUACUUGAUGAGUUGCCGCAAUGUAUAAUAGCAUUGGUUCGCCAAUGUUUGGCGCGGCCAGGACUGGGUUUGUUGCCAAUAUGGCUUUUAUUUCGUUGAGUCCGACCGUGGCGGCAUCCGUCCACUCGAAGUGUUUGGUGUGCCGGAGGAGGCGAUAAAGGGGUAAUGCCUUUUCUCCCAAGUGGGAGAUAAAGCGGCUUAGAGCCGCCACGCAUCCAGUCAAUUUUUGUAUUUGUUUAAGGUCUGUUGGGGUAGCCAACUGUGACAACGCUCGGAUUAUGGCCGUUAACACCGUAUUGUUGUCCACGGGAUGGUGCUCUGUGGUAUUUGGGAGGAGUAGUUCCUCACCACUUUUGGCCACCUGCCGGAGUAUCCAACAUGCUCUAAGGUUGUAUUAUGAAUUUUGUAGGGUCCGUUGAGCCAUCCCUCCAGUACGGUUCCUUGCCCCAUAUAGGGCUUUUGCUUUUUGGUAGUUAACCCAGGUGUAUUGUGAUAAUGCACCCUUUUAUUUCGGACUGGGUUUGUAUUCAGGGCCGGAUUAUCCCAAAAUUUUAUUUCGGUUUUCCAGGCGCUUUCCAUCGCACAGUACUUUCGUACUAUGGACACCAAGUCGGCAAAGCGUGUAAUUUUGCGGCGACUUAUGGCGUUGAGAAUUCCCUUGUUCGUGCAAUUAUUGCAGAAGAAUGAAAUUGCGUCUUCCUCGCGGCAGUCCUUUAUCCUGUUCAUGACCAGGAGGAAUCUGGCCCAGUAAUGGUGUACUGUUUCUUCGGGCUCUUGCCUAAUUUGGGAUAGAUCGCUUAUGUUUGGGUGGGUGGGUGGGUGGAAUUGAACCCGAAUCCUCACCCAAUCUGAGACUUAGGGGCCAAGGAGUUUCCGAACUUGGAAGUUUGGAUUCUUGGAUGUUUUCUAAUAAAUCUAGCCCGCUGCCUGACUCUAGGUUCAGGUCUUGAGUGACGUCCUCCCCUCUACGGGUAUCCGGCUUGGAGGGAUCGGGAAUCCGGACAUUGCUAGUCCUUAAGAUAGAUGAAGGGUUGCCGCAUUGUUCCUCCACCACUGCAACGUGAUGGGUGACCUGGGGAGAGUUGAUCUCUCUCAGAUCGGGUUUAGGCCCAACCUAAUCGUAGUCUGUAGCAACUCCCAGGGCGGCGAUGCGAUCCAAGAGCUCGUUCAGGGAAGAGAGCUCCAUUGGAUCUAACUGCUCGGCGAGUUCUGAGUUAACGUGAAGAUUGCUUUCGAUGACCCGAGAAGUCAUGGUUGGCGCAGCGGCCGAACAGGCAGUCAUAAGAAAACCUCCUAGCCGGAGAGUUUGGCCGAUAGCCAAAGCUCCCUUAGCAACAGUGCCGUCUUUAAAGACGGGAUGAGACAUCCUUCCUGGUGGCGACGGCAUAGCGGAACUCUCAAUGAAAGCACCAAUCUCGGUGUCAAAACCGGCGGAUCUCGGGUAGGGGGUCCCGAACUGUGCCUCUAGGCUGGAUGGUAACAGGAGGCAGGGGACACGAUGUUUUACCCAGGUUCGGGCCCUCUUGAUGGAGGUAAAACCCUACGUCCUGCUUGAUUAAUAUUGAUGAUAUGGGUAGUACAAGAGUAGAUCUACCACGAGAUCAGAGAGGCUAAACCCUAGAAGCUAGCCUAUGGUAUGAUUGUAUGUUGUGAUUGUUGUCCUACGGACUAAAACCCUUCGGUUUAUAUAGACACCGGAGAGGGUUAGGGUUACACAAGCUCGGUUGCAAAGGAGGAGAUAUCCAUAUCCGUAUUGCCUAGCUUGCCUUCCACGCCAAGUAGAGUCCCAUCCGGACACAAGACAAAGUCUUCAAUCUUGUAUCUUCAUAGUCCAAUAGUCCGGCCAAAGGAUAUAGUCCGGCUGUCCGGAGACCCCCUAAUCCAGGACUCCCUCAGUCGUGCCAGGCUUGAUGGCCGUCAACUCGUGUGGGGGCACGUCCUCUUGAUCCAUAGAUUGAUCUGGUCUGGCCGGCACUAUUGGUCAGGUUCUGACGUAGGUCGUACGUGUAACCUGGAGCCGCUGCUUCCUUGCCUUUAUGACAAGGGGCCACGGACUGGUGUUCGGCAUAAUUAGCUGUUUUGUCCCGUCCACGUGGUGGUCGGUCCGGUUGAUCAGCCUGAUUGUAGUUUGACCGUAUUGGCCCGACGGCCUUGUCGUCAAAUUGUGGCAGUAGCCUACAUUUGGGAUAACUUUUUGUUUGGUGCUCAAAGCCAUAUCCUUCUUCAGCGGCUAGGACCUUGGUCCAUCUAUUGUUCAGUGUAUCAUGUUCGGCUUUAAUCUGCUGAUGUUUCUUGUUCAGGCUCCAUGCAGUGGCGAUGAGCCAUCACUUAAAGCAUUCUUGUUCGAGGGGUUCCUCUAGGACGAUCAAUUCUUCGUCACCGAGGCUAACAUCCUCUUCGGAGACAGGUAAGUAGUUACUAUCUUUUGAAUCCUCGUGAUCGGCUUGUUCUUCGGGGCUGUAUUGAACCUCUUCCCUUUCAUCAUGCUCGAACGUAGGCUCAACGGGGUGGUCGAGGUUUUCAGUGUUGUCCAGAGUGUCAUUAUCUCCAGUGUCGGUAUUGCUUUCCCUUCCCUGACGCGAUCAUGAGCGGUGCCGCUGACGCCGGCAUUUUGGUGGUUCAUCGAUGGUCUUAUCCUCAUCUGGAUCUUGAGUGCCAUCCUCGUCCCUCUUCUUAGUGGUAUCCACCAUGUAUAUGUCAUAAGUAGAAGUGGUCGUCCAACGCCCAGUGAUGGGCGGAUUUUGACCUGGAUCGGUUUCGACACCGUCAUCCAUGCCAUCGAUGUCUUCGGAGACAUAGUCUAGCAUGUCAGUUAAAUCCUCGACAGUGGCUAUGAAGUGGGUGGUGGGUUGGACGUAAAAUUCCCUACUCUCAGCCCCCAGUUCAAGCUGGGUGUAGUUUGGAGGUGAUACUUCCGUGAUGGCGAGAGAUUGUAUAAGCUCCAGCGUUUUGUUUAAGAGCGAAAGCCGGUGAUACGUCCCCAACGUAUCUAUAAUUUUUGAUUGUUCGAUGCUAUUAUAUUAUCAACCUUGGAUGUUUUAUAUGCAUUUAUAUACUAUUUUAUAUGAUUUUUGGGACUAACCUAUUAACCCAGAGCCAAGUGCCAGUUUCUGUUUUCCCCUUGUUUCAGUGUUUCGCAGAAAAGGAAUAUCAAACGGAGUCCAAACGGAAUUAAACCUUCGAAAAAGUUAUUUUUGGAAACAAAGCAAUACAGAAGACUUGGAGUGCACGUCAGGGGAUCAACGAGGAAGCCACGAGGCAGGGGGCGCGCCCUCCACCCUCGUGGGCCCCUCGUGGCUCCCCUGAUGUAUUUCUUCCGCCUAUAUAUAUCCAUAUACCCUAAAACGAUCGGGGAGCACAAUAGAUCGGGAGUUCCACCGCCAGAAGCCUCCGUAGCCACCGAAAACCAAUCUAGACCCGUUCCGGCACCAUGCCGGAGGGGGAAUCCCUCUCCGGUGGCCAUCUUCAUCAUCCCGGCACUCUCCAUGACAAGAAGGGUGUAGUUCUCCCUCGGGGCUGAGGGUAUGUACCAGUAGCUAUGUGUUUGAUCUCUCUCUCUCUCUCUCUCUUGUGUUCUUGAUUUGGCACGAUCUUGAUGUAUCGCGAGCUUUGCUAUUAUAGUUGGCUCUUAUGUUCUUGAUUGAGUUUUCCCUUU